rnacentral:rRNA from 1 species
CCGGCGCACGGGUGAGUAACACGUAUCCAACCUGCCGUCUACUCUUGGCCAGCCUUCUGAAAGGAAGAUUAAUCCAGGAUGGCAUCAUGAGUUCACAUGUCCGCAUGAUUAAAGGUAUUUUCCGGUAGACGAUGGGGAUGCGUUCCAUUAGAUAGUAGGCGGGGUAACGGCCCACCUAGUCAACGAUGGAUAGGGGUUCUAAGAGGAAGGUCCCCCACAUUGGAACUGAGACACGGUCCAA